AGAGUUUGAUCCUGGCUCAGGAUGAACGCUGGCGGCGUGCUUAACACAUGCAAGUCGAGCGAAGCACUUAAGUUUGAUUCUUCGGAUGAAGACUUUUGUGACUGAGCGGCGGACGGGUGAGUAACGCGUGGGUAACCUGCCUCAUACAGGGGGAUAACAGUUAGAAAUGACUGCUAAUACCGCAUAAGACCACAGGGUCGCAUGACCCGGUGGUAAAAACUCCGGUGGUAUGAGAUGGACCCGCGUCUGAUUAGCUAGUUGGUGGGGUAACGGCUCACCAAGGCGACGAUCAGUAGCCGACCUGAGAGGGUGACCGGCCACAUUGGGACUGAGACACGGCCCAAACUCCUACGGGAGGCAGCAGUGGGGAAUAUUGCACAAUGGGGGAAACCCUGAUGCAGCGACGCCGCGUGAAGGAUGAAGUAUUUCGGUAUGUAAACUUCUAUCAGCAGGGAAGAAAAUGACGGUACCUGACUAAGAAGCCCCGGCUAACUACGUGCCAGCAGCCGCGGUAAUACGUAGGGGGCAAGCGUUAUCCGGAUUUACUGGGUGUAAAGGGAGCGUAGACGGCAUGGCAAGUCUGAAGUGAAAGCCCGGGGCUCAACCCCGGGACUGCUUUGGAAACUGUCAGGCUAGAGUGCUGGAGAGGUAAGUGGAAUUCCUAGUGUAGCGGUGAAAUGCGUAGAUAUUAGGAGGAACACCAGUGGCGAAGGCGGCUUACUGGACAGUGACUGACGUUGAGGCUCGAAAGCGUGGGGAGCAAACAGGAUUAGAUACCCUGGUAGUCCACGCCGUAAACGAUGACUACUAAGGUGGCGGGUAACAAAGCUAUUCG
rnacentral:rRNA from 1 species